CUCCAAGAUGCCACUGAUUUCAUUUUCGUUAGCCAUAUUCUGCUGGGCAUGCAGUAUAUUCCCUUAAAUAUAGUUUGUCUCUUCCUGGUUAGGAUGGGGCCAUGUGUCCACUUCUCCUUUCAGCUCUAAAAUCCCAUCUGGUGCAGACCCAUACAGGCCCUGGCAUGCUUCCUCAGUCUCUAUGAGUUCAUUUGUGUUUUGAUCAUGUUGAUUUAGAGAACACCAAAGGGUCUUGGUGUCCUACAUUCCCUCUGGCUCUUGCAAUCUCUUUCUGCCUCUUCUGAAGUGUUCCCUGAGACUUGAGGGAAGGGAUUUGAUGGAGACUCCAAUUCCAGCCAAGUGUUCCAGGCUUUCUCACUCUCUGAAUAAUGUGUGACUGUAGGUCUUUGUGUUUGUUCCCAUCUGCUGCAGGAAGAAGAUUCUCCAAUGAUAGCUGAGCAAGGCAUUGCUCAUGUUUGUCUUUCUGGGUAGCUAUCAGACUUUUUAAUUAUAGUAUUUUAAUUUUUUCUUUGAGAAUUUUAUUAUGGAUACAAUGUAUUCUGCUGAUGAUAUCCAUCCUCCACUCUGCCCAUCCAAAUCUUUCCAGUGCCUCCCUCUCCAAAAUUUCAUGUUUUCUUAAUUUGUUCUUGAAAAAAGGUAUGCAAAUAUGUAGGUCUUUACAUGUUAUGGUUUGCAAUAGAACACAUUUUCUUUAUCAACUUUUUAAUAAUUUGUGUACUUUGGUGUGUUUUAGUUUGUUAUUUAUUCUGUCACCUAAAUCAAUGGUAGUAUUCUUCAAAGUGCCAUAUGUGUGCCUGCAUAGAAUUCCCUAGAUGUCUUCAUAUGUGUUCCUGAAUUGAAAUUUCCUAGACAUCUCUGUUUUCUCUUUUAACUUGACACCAAAUGAAUCUCUGGGCUUUGGUAUGGAAGACGUAUUUGAAAUAAUAUCCCAAGUCAUUUCUAUUCUCAAUAAAAGUAUUACACAAUAUAUAUGGAUGCCUUAAGUUCAUUAGUUUUUAUCAUGGUCAUCGUGUCAUUGUUCAGUUUGUGAAAUAAUAUGUCAGGCAGAAGUCAUCAUGAAAGACUUUGUUGCUGUUGUUUUCUUUAAGUAGUUUGCCAUUGAGGUGAAAAAGACAACAUAAAUUGUAGUCUGUGAUAAAAUUGAAAUUAUGAAAUUUUUAUCUAUUAUGGAGUUUACCUAUUAUUAUAAAAUCUAUUAUUAUGAAAUUAACAUUGUGUAUGUUCUGAAGUUUGGGAGAGACUCUCUGUCUGCCUAUUUGAUCUGGGAUCUUUGAUCUCAGAGAGGAGCCUUGGCUGUAAUUGGGAUGUGAAUUUUUAAUAGAUGAAUUCAUCAACACCAGAAUUACACUUGCUUUCUAGGAUAGCAUAGGGACAUGAGAAGGCAAAUAGAAGAACAGUUUGGAGCUGGGGUGUUAUAUAGACAACAGUGAAUUCCCCUAAGUACCAGUCUGGUUAGAUAGCUGGAAUUCUGCUGAGGUUCUUUUCACCACUCAGCCUAUGGGGUUCCACUUAACACUGUGAGUCAUGGGGGAAGAGUUAGCAAAUGAUACACAGACUAUUGAAAUCAAUCAUAAGAUUGGAUAAAUGUCAUACAGACUUUUACUUGGAGGCAAUCUAAUUAAGAAGUAAAAGAAAUACAUUAGAUGGAGUGUCAUGUACAGCCCCAGCUGGGCAGACACAGAGGGACAUGAAGAAGGAGUCAUCCCAGAAGAUUGAUAACUGUGAAAGUUGAAGGUGUAGAAGAAAUCAGCCCUGGCCUUGGUAAUUUAGUCAUAAGAAAAUAGUGUUUUCCAUUUGUAGAAUUAGGCUGUUUCAUAGAAGAGGAUGAGUAACAGUAUAAUUCCACAGAUCACUUAGGAUACUAGUAGGAAUAAGACAUAUUUGGAAAAGCAAAAUAAACCUCAAAGUAAGCCCUUAUGUCAGUGGUUCUCAACCUUCCUAAUGCUGUGUCCCCUUAAUAGAGUUCCUAUUGUUGAGAUGACCCUCAAUUAUAAAAUUGUUUCCUUUUUAUUUCAUAACUGUAAUUUUGCUAAUGUUUGUCAAGAUAUCUGCUGUGCAGCCCCCCAAAGGCAGCACAAUCCACAGGUUGAGAAGCUUGGCUUUAAAGGGAAGAGACUGUCUUGGGCCAGGACUUGAGGCAUGCAAUAAACUUGGGACAGUUGUUACUGCAAUCUCUAUGAAAAAUUAAAAAUAUGGUAUAUUAGCCAGUAUUCAGUAAUUUUAUUUAAGUAAAAGAGACAGGAAAUAUAGCGGUAAUGUGUCUUCAUUUAUUUGGAGCCUUGUCUGUGUUUCUGUGUUCUCCUAUCUAUACUUUUUAGUAGGAAGCUCCCCCACUUCUGAAACACCAGAAUUCUAAGACUAGAAAUAAGACACUCUUAAACUCUCCUUACUCCAUCCCACAUCAAUUUCUGUUAAAGGCUUAGAGUUUGACUUUCCAGAAGUGUCCUCUGAGGGAAGGAUUGGACUUCUGUCACCUUUUCUGAAUCAGCUGCUCUUUAAGGACAGACAUACAGUCGUACAGCUUUUUUUUUUUUUUUUUUUUUUUUUUUUGUAAAGUAUAAUCCCCUGUUUUGCUCAUUUUUCUCUCAGGUUUUUGCCAUUAGUCUGUAUGAUGCUGUGUUUACUGCUCUGAAUGUGGUGGGACCUGGGAAAAUGGGGCCAAUAAACGAGAUAGACUAAAGUCUCAUGCAAUAGCCAACUUUAUUCAGAGCAUCAGACAAUUUAUACUCCGAGGCUUAAGAGUAGUCACAUGAGUGAAGUGGACAAUCACAAGGGCAAGCUGCACAUGGCAGGCAAGCCACUCAGGGCAAAAAGAUGUUCUCCAUGCAAGCAUAUAAACAAAUGCAAUAGCCGCUUAUAAUGAGUAAUCUGAAAUAAACUCACUCCUAUCCACUACACCUGGAAGGAGCAGGGAAACACAUUCCAAGAAAAAUUCUAUGUUUUUGAGGAAACUGAGAUCACAAGACUCUUGUCUUGUUUUCUCACAAUCACUCAGCAGUCUCCUCAUAUCAUAUGACUCCAUUCUUGGACUAUGUUCCCACAAUGUUUGAUACGUAGGGAUUUGUAUACAAAAGGUCCAAUUCACUUUCUUUGGCUUUCACUUCUUUGUAUUUCUUCUCAAAUAUGAUUUCCUGGUCGAUAUCCAUUUUUUAAAAUAUCACACCAUAAGAACUGACUCAGGAAACUUAGUUACUGACAGCAUUGUCACUUCAUUAGGUCUAUAGUCUUUUUUUUCUGUCCUACACUGAUUUGGGAAGGCUUGGAAUAGUAGAUUUCGAGGCUAUAGCUCUUGAGAGGGAGAUAUAGUUGCCUUGCAUGCAACCUGGAUGCUUGGCUCUGCUGUAAAUGUAUUUUUGAGGUCAUGGGGGCUGGCAUGUGGGGAAUGCCUGAUUCUUUCAGUUCGAGCACUGCUUUUGCACUAGCUGCUCCAGAUUUACACUGUCCUCUAGAUAUCAGCUAUUCCUUCAACACUGAGAGCAAGAGUGAUUAAUAAUGGUCCUCACCCCUAGGAUGUUUGUGUAUCCUUUGAUUUGCUCUAGUCUGGUGAUCUUAUGUCAUCUUGUUAUCUACUUCAUCUCCGUAGAUGGUUGCCAUGUUAUAUUCAGGAUGAUAAACAUAAGACAGAAACCAGGAAUAACAACAGUCUUUCUUUUGCCUUGGUGGUGAUGGUAAUGUUGUGUAUAUGCGUGCAUGUGGGUGUGCAGGUGUAUUUGCUUAUGUGUGCCCAUACAUGGAGGCCAGAGGUCCGCCUUAGUCUCCUUUUGACUCAGUCUGUACUGUUUUUGAAAUGGCAUUUCUCACUGAAUUCAGAGCUCAUCAUUUGGCAAGGGUCCCUAUCUCAUAGUCCGGACCUCUCUCUUCUGGGUUCCAAGUGAAUUCUGCUGUGCCUGGCUUAUGUGGGUAUCUGGUUCAACAUCAGAUCUUUAAGCCUUCAUGCACAACAGGCCAUUUACUGACAACCAUCUCCACUCUCAAGAAUAGUCUUUUGUUGUUUUUUUUUUUUUCUUUUUUGGAAAAAAGUGAACCUUUGUAACAUUUAUCUUAGAGUAAUUGUUUCACAAACCCAGAUGGUCUUUAUUUUUUUAAAUGUAUGAGUGCCCUGUCAGAAAGCAUGCCUACAGACCCAUUAUAGAUGGUUAUGAGCCACCAUGUGGUUGCUGGGAAUUGAACUCAGAACUUCUGGAUGAGCAGCCAGUGCUCAUAACCUCUGAGGCAUCUCUCCAGCCCCAAGACUCAUGCUCUUAUCUCCUUUCAGAAUCCACUCACUGCUUCAGUGUGCAAGAAGGCAGAGGAAAACAUAUUAUAGCCAUUAGAGCCAACUAGUUGCAUUUACUUAUGAAAGAUCAGGAAUGUUCUUCUGGCCUUUGCCAUUUGCCACUCCUUUGACUAAGACUAGACCAUAGAUGGCCAAUAUCGCUCUGCCUGUCUACCUUUGUGCCUGUCUGUAUGCUUGCCUGUCUGUCUGUCUGGAUCAGAGUUUCAUGUAGCCUAGUUUGUUCUGGAACUCUGCAUUCUGGGAUGAUGAUGAAUUUUCUUUUACCCUGAGCAAUGACACUACAGGCUUUUGCCAUAAUGCCUGGUGCAUAAAAUCCUGGCUUACAGAAAUAUUUAAAGAACUACUGUUUAGCUAGUCCCCUUGCAAGAAUUUCUAAUACAUUUUCUAAAUGUAUAAUGUGAUUUUCUACAAAAAUAAAAACGCUUUUCAUGUAUGACAAGCCUUCACAAAUCAGAGCUUCAGAAAGAACAAAUGAUGGUUGACAAGAGGCUCAUCACUUCUCCAGCCUCUGGACGUGUGUUUUGCCAUCUUUCAAAGAUUUCGUUACUACUGGAGGAUAUACGUUCUUGGUAUUAGCUGAGCUGACCUUUUGCUACAUAGGUGCGGGUUCAUAUUUAUGUAAAUAGGGAGACAAGGUAUCAUUGAUUUUUCAAGUUAGAAAAACGUUGGAUGCAGCAAAGAACUUUGAAUAACAAGGGAUGCUAAUGAGUUUGAUUUACAUUUCUGUUCUAAAGUAUUACUACUACAACAACUUAAGGCUUGUAAUUGUUUCCUCUGCAAUGUAAAUAUUCAGUUCCUAUUGCAUGUUCAGUAUUUGUUUCAGAGUUUAUAGUUUAUGAAAACAGAGACUGUGGUGAAUUAGUUGGUUUCAUUGAACAUUCACGGCAAAAAUGUCUUAAAAUGGUUUUUUGUAUGAUGAAUUAUCACUCUUUUAUAUGAACACUGCCAUGGUAGUUUCAAAAUAUGGGGUUUGCGUCAUCUACAGGUUCUCAGUAGACUUUGUUUGGGGUAUUUAUUUUAGCUUAUAUCUUUAUUUCCAAAUGACCUUCUUUUCCUUUCACAUAAAGUAUAAGAUCUUAAGUGAUGAAGGCUGGAUCCUAGCUUGCUUUUUCCUCUGCCUGCAGAACCUUCCUACCUGGCUUUGAACUUCUAAGAACACUGCCUAGAUGUCAUUAGUGUUCUCAGCUUGUUGCAGUCACAUGACAACCAGCAGCAGAACUGCUUGAGCAGAGAUUUAAGCCAUGGAGAGGGGUAUGGGCUCUGAAUCCUUAUCCUGCCUAUCUACAUUCACAACCUGCCGGUGCCUCAUACUCCCUGAAGGCCAGCACAGAGGCACAGAGGCACAGAGGCCAAAGGACUGGAACUGGGGUUUCAGACAGUUGGGAGCUACCAUGUGGACCUUCUGGAGCAGCAGCCAGUGCUUGAACUGCUGAGCCACUUCUACUUUUUUUCUCUACUUUUUACAAAUAGCAAUAAAAAUUCAUUGCAACUCAGUCAAGUUAUUGAAGCUUCCAAACAAUGCUACAUACAAGGGAUCUGCAUUUGUCACAGCUAGACCAUCUGCAUAUCCAGUCAUAUUGUCCUCUCUUCUUUGUUUUGAUGAAAAUACACUAUAUUUGUGACUGUAAUUAUGAAUAAAAUAAAGCCUUCUUUAAAAGUUA